rnacentral:rRNA from 1 species
AGAGUUUGAUCAUGGCUCAGGAUGAACGCUAGCGACAGGCCUAAUACAUGCAAGACGAACGGUAAGUUGAGUAGCAAUACUUAGCCAAGAGUGUCGUACGGGUGCGUAACACGUAUGCAACCUACCCUAUACAGGAGGAUAGCCUAGGGAAACCUGGAUUAACCCUUCAUAGUAUUAUUGGAUGGCAUCAUUUGAUAAUUAAAACUGAGGUGGUAUAGGAUGGGCAUGCGUCUGAUUAGUUAGUUGGCGGGGUAAUGGCCCACCAAGACGAUGAUCAGUAGGGGUUCUGAGAGGAAGAUCCCCCACACUGGCACUGAGAUACGGGCCAGACUCCUACGGGAGGCAGCAGUAGGGAAUAUUGGUCAAUGGAUGCAAGUCUGAACCAGCCAUGCCGCGUGCAGGAAGAAGGCCUUCUGGGUUGUAAACUGCUUUUGCCAGGGGAUAAAAUUUCCAUGCGUGGAAAACUGAAGGUACCUGGUGAAUAAGCCACGGCUAACUACGUG